GGGCCCGCACAAGCGGUGGAGCAUGUGGUUUAAUUCGAUGAUACGCGAGGAACCUUACCAGGGCUUAAAUGUAACGGGACAGAUCUAGAGAUAGAUCCUUCUUCGGACUCAUUACAAGGUGCUGCAUGGUUGUCGUCAGCUCGUGCCGUGAGGUGUCAGGUUAAGUCCUAUAACGAGCGCAACCCCCCAUCGUUAGUUGCCAACGAGUAAAUGUCGGGAACUCUAACGAAACUGCCGGUGCAAAACCGUGAGGAAAGGUGGGGAUGAACGUCAAAAUCAUCACGGCCCUUACGUCCUGGGCUACACACGUGCUACAAUGGUCGGUACAGAGAGCAGCCACUACGCGAGUAGGAGCAAAAUCUUCAAAAGCCGAUCUC
rnacentral:rRNA from 1 species